rnacentral:rRNA from 1 species
CGCGUGGGAACAUACCCUUUUCUACGGAAUAGCCUCGGGAAACUGAGAGUAAUACCGUAUAAGCCCUUCGGGGGAAAGAUUUAUCGGGAAAGGAUUGGCCCGCGUUAGAUUAGAUAGUUGGUGGGGUAAUGGCCUACCAAGUCUACGAUCUAUAGCUGGUUUUAGAGGAUGAUCAGCAACACUGGGACUGAGACACGGCCCAGACUCCUACGGGAGGCAGCAGUGGGGAAUCUUAGACAAUGGGCGCAAGCCUGAUCUAGCCAUGCCGCGUGUGUGAUGAAGGUCUUAGGAUCGUAAAGC